GACGUAGGGUCCAAGCGUUGUCCGGAUUUACUGGGCGUAAAGAGCGCGUAGGCGGCUCGUUAAGUGUAGAGUGAAAUCUCUGGGCUCACCCCAGAAACUGCUCUGCAUACUGGCGAGCUAGAGGGUCGAAGAGGUAUGUGGAAUUCCUGGUGUAGCGGUGAAAAUGCGUUGAUAUCAGGGAGGAACACCCAGUGGCGAAGGCAGGCUCUGGUCCGG
rnacentral:rRNA from 1 species